rnacentral:rRNA from 1 species
GAAGGUCGAAAGAUUGUAAAGUUCUUUUAUAAAUGAGGAAUAAGCUUUGUAGGAAAUGACAAGGUGAUGACGUUAAUUUAUGAAUAAGCCCCGGCUAAUUACGUGCCAGCAGCCGCGGUAAUACGUAAGGGGCGAGCGUUGUUCGGGAUUAUUGGGCGUAAAGGGUGAGUAGGCGGAUAUGCAAGUCUAUGCGUAAAAUACCACAGCUCAACUGUGGAGCUAUGCUAGAAACUGCAUGACUAGAGUCUGAUAGGGGAAGUUAGAAUUCCUGGUGUAAGGGUGGAAUCUGUUGAUAUCAGGAAGAAUACCAGAGGCGAAGGCGAACUUCUAGGUCAAGACUGACGCUGAGUCACGAAAGCGUAGGGAGCAAACAGGAUUAGAUACCCUGGUAGUCUACGCUGUAAACGAUGCACACUUGGUGUUAAUUGAGAGAUUAGUACCGAAGCUAACGUGUUAAGUGUGCCGCCUGGGGAGUAUGCU